UACGAAGGGGGGCGAGCGUUGUUCGGAAUUACUGGGCGUAAAGCGUGCGCAGGCGGUUGUGCAAGACCGAUGUGAAAUCCCCGGGCUCAACCUGGGAAUGGCAUUGGUGACUGUACGGCUAGAGUGUGUCAGAGGGGGGGUAGAAUUCCACGUGUAGCAGUGAAAUGCGUAGAGAUGUGGAGGAAUACCGAUGGCGAAGGCAGCCCCCUGGGAUAACACUGACGCUCAUGCACGAAAGCGUGGGGAGCAAACAGG
rnacentral:rRNA from 1 species